UACGGAGGGGGCUAGCGUUGUUCGGAAUUACUGGGCGUAAAGCGCACGUAGGCGGCUUUGUAAGUUAGAGGUGAAAGCCCGGGGCUCAACUCCAGAAUUGCCUUAAGACUGCAUCGCUAGAAUUGUGGAGAGGUAAGUGGAAUUCCCGGUGUAGCGGUGAAAUGCGUAGAGAUCGGGAGGAACACCAGAGGCGAAGGCGGCGACCUGGACAGUCACUGACACUCAACUGCGAAAGCGUGGGGAGCAAACAGG
rnacentral:rRNA from 1 species